rnacentral:rRNA from 1 species
UACGAAGGGGGCUAGCGUUGCUCGGAAUCACUGGGCGUAAAGCGCACGUAGGCGGCUUUCUAAGUCAGGGGUGAAAUCCUGGAGCUCAACUCCAGAACUGCCUUUGAUACUGGAGAGCUUGAGUCCGGAAGAGGUGAGUGGAACUCCGAGUGUAGAGGUGAAAUUCGUAGAUAUUCGGAAGAACACCAGUGGCGAAGGCGGCUCACUGGCCCGGUACUGACGCUGAGGCGCGAAAGCGUGGGGAGCAAACAGG